AGAAAGGAGGGGGAAGAAAAGGCAAGCAAUGCUAUUGCUAUCACCUCAACCAAUUAGCUAACACAGCCAGCUGCAAGGAAGGCUCAGAAACGGAAUCUCUGAGGCCAUUUGCUCAGCUUAAAUUAUCUAUAAAGUUGGGGAUAAUAACAAUGCCUUCUUCAUAGAGAGAUGGUGAGAAUUAAAUGAGAUCAUUUGCAUAAAUGGCCGAGUUCACAGUAAACACUUUCUAAAUGGCAGUUAUUGUGAGCAUCAAAUACAGUAUGUGGCUCGCUAAAAUGCUCUACAAAAAUUAAUUUUAAUUACCCUGUGUAUAACUUAACAGUACAACUAAUUUGCAAUCUGAUUGCUUUGUUGAUGAACAUAAUCUUUAGAUCCUGAAUACACUGUAGAAUUCCUUUCUCCUUUUAAAAACCUUUAUUCACAGUAUUUAUUG
rnacentral:lncRNA from 1 species